GAUGAACGCUGGCGGCGUGCCUAAUACAUGCAAGUCGAGCGAACAGACGAGGAGCUUGCUCCUCUGACGUUAGCGGCGGACGGGUGAGUAACACGUGGAUAACCUACCUAUAAGACUGGGAUAACUUCGGGAAACCGGAGCUAAUACCGGAUAAUAUAUUGAACCGCAUGGUUCAAUAGUGAAAGACGGUUUUGCUGUCACUUAUAGAUGGAUCCGCGCCGCAUUAGCUAGUUGGUAAGGUAACGGCUUACCAAGGCAACGAUGCGUAGCCGACCUGAGAGGGAGAUAGGCCACACUGGAACUGAGACACGGUCCAGACUCCUACGGGAGGCAGCAGUAGGGAAUCUUCCGCAAUGGGCGAAAGCCUGACGGAGCACCGCCGCGUGAGUGAUGAAGGUCUUCGGAUCGUAAAACUCUGUUAUUAGGGAAGAACAAAUGUGUAAGUAACUAUGCACGUCUUGACGGUACCUAAUCAGAAAGCCACGGCUAACUACGUG
rnacentral:rRNA from 1 species